rnacentral:rRNA from 1 species
AAACCAGCACCUCAAGUGGUCAGGAGGAUUAUUGGGCCUAAAGCAUCCGUAGCCUGUUCUAUAAGUUUCCGGUUAAAUCCACUAGCUCAACUAGUGGGCUGCCGAAAAUACUGUAGAACUAGGGAGUGGGUGAGGUAGACGGUAUUCGGUAGGAAGGGGUAAAAUCCUCUGAUCUAUUGAGGACCACCUGUGGCGAAGGCGGUCUACCAGAACACGUUCGACGGUGAGGGAUGAAAGCUGGGGGAGCAAACCGGAUUAGAAACCCGAGUAGUCC